UUCUUUUCAGUUUAAUUUCUGAUAAGUCCACUAUCUGAGGACAAUAUAUUAAAUAGAUUUUUGGAAGUAGGAGUUGGAAUAGGAGCUUGCUCUGUCCACUCUGUGCAUCACAGUACCUCCAGGAAUGGUGC
rnacentral:snRNA from 14 species